UUAAAUUCUAAGGGUUUUUGCUGGAACUAUAAAAAAUAUUAAAAGGUUUUCAGGUUGGAGAAGAAUACUAGAUAGAAACCUGGAUCUACAUAAAGGAAUACAAAAUGGUGAAAAUGGUUAAUAUAUGGGUAAAAUUUGAAACUUUUUCUUGUUUUUAAAUUUGUUUAAAAGAUAUUUUGUUUUGUAAGGAAAAAAUAACAGCAAUGAACUGUGUGGUUUAUAAUAUAGAGAGAAGUAAAGUAUAUCUAGAAAUAGAACCAAAUAUAGAAGUGGGUAAUGGAAUAGAAUAUUGUUGCAAGGUUCCUCCAUUGUCAAUGAAGUAGUGUUAUGUCAUCAGAAUGCCAUAAGAAAUUAGAGGGGGUAGCUGAGAUGGCCAACUAAAAGCAGCUAGUGUGCACUGCUGUCAUGGAGAGGAAUGGAACCUCCUCAACACAGGGGAACCUCCCCAGUCCAGGGAAGUGUUCCCAACUGUUAAUUUGUUAUCCAGUCUCCUCAUGCACCAUAUUGAAAACAGAGCCUUCAGUUAAUCAUAACUCAGAAACCCAUAGCAAAUUGUAAAAAUGGCCACAUCAUAAAGUCUUCUCAUCCUGUAUGCACACUCAUUUAUGACUUUACAGUUCUUCCCAUCAAGAGAUGAAGUCUAUUCUUUACUCCUUGAAUUUGGGCUUAGCUAUGUGACUUACUUUAGUGGAUGGGACAUUAGCAAUGUGUCAGGAGCAAAUGCUUGAAAAGUGCUUGUGCAUUGGAGUUUACUCUCUGGAUGGUCUUUGGAAGCCUGGGACUACCAUAGGAAAAAAUUCAAAACCAGCCUGCUGAUAAGAGAACACGUGGAGCAAAGAUAGCAUCUCAGCUGAAGCUCUCCUAGACCCUCCAGCCACAACCAAGAAAUAAGCCAGCUAACCCUAGACAUCAGCCACGCCAUCUCAGACCAGAAGAAAUGUCCACCUGAUUAAGAGAACAGUGAGAAAUUCUUAUUUUAAGCCACUAAAUCUUGGUAGGGGUUAGCACACAGUAAUAGCUAACUGAUACAUGUUCCUUCUGCUUUCAUUUCAGUACUGAGAGCAAUUCACAUGCACAUAACUCACUUCAAAGUCCCAUGGACCCAGCAGGUUUGGGAAUUUAGAUGCUAAUAAAUGGUAAUGAUGUUUGUCCCAAUAGUUAAGUUGUAAGUCAUCUUUAUUUUUUAAAGACAUCGAUGGAUAAAAUUAGAAGUGAAAAUCACAUUAUGUCUAAGUUUAAUUUAAAACGAGCUUUACAAGAAUAAAGGAAAGGAAGAAAGAAAGAAAAAGAGGAAGGGAGGGAGAAAAUAGAUAAAGUAGGACACAAUGUUGAUAAUAUAGAACAUUAAUAGAUGGUGUAUUUGUCUGUUCAGGCUGCUAUAACAAAAUACCAUAGACUGGGUGGCUUAAGCAACAAAAAUUUAUUUUCUCACAGUUCUGGAGGCUGGAAGUAUGAGAUCAGGGUGCUAGAAUGGGUAGGUCUGGUGAGUGCGCCUUGCAGGUAGGUGGCCAACUUUUGUGUGCUCAGAAGGCUUUUCUUCUUGUGUGCAAAUUGGAGAGAUAGAAAUCUGUGUCUCUCUUUCUCUCUCUCUCUCCUUCUCUCUGUCUCUCGCUCUCUCUUUUUCUUAUAAGGCCACAAAUCCUAUUGGAUUAGGACCCUACCCUAAUGAACCCAUCAUCUUUAAUUACCUCCUAAAAGCCCUAACUCCAAAAACGUCACAUAGUGGGUUAUGACUUCAACAUAUGAGUCUGGGGGAGAAACAAUUAAGUCCAUAGUAGAAGAAAAUUCAUUGUCCUAGUCUAAUUUUUUAGAUAUUUGAAAACAUUCAUAGAAUUUAAAAGCAUAACUAUAUUUUAUCUUCUACUCUCUUGUUUAUGCAGUAAGAGACAAAAAUUCUCCCUAGAAGAAAAUUCUGGAAAGCUCCAUGAUCCCUUUAUACCAUUAAAAAUUCUUGAUUAAGUAAUUAGAAAGUCCAGUUCAAGAUAAUAAAGUUGUAAGUUUGCUUUAAUAUCAAGUCUUCUCCUAUCUUCCAGACUGCUGGAACUGCUAUGAUUCAAAGCCUUGGUGACAGUCAGUUUCUCCAUUUCUACACCUUAUCUUCCAUAUCAAUCUAAAGGUGGCUUUAUCCUCUAUGAGGACUUACAUGUUGGAAAAAUGAGUGGAGGUAUCAUUAAGUUGCCCUUGAGCUUUCUGGGACCCACUCUGUUCCAUUUCCCUUGACAUAGACAAGGCCAUUAUUGGCCUUCAUCUCUGAGUUCUGCCAACAAAGCAUCAGCCUAUGUAUUCUCUGUUACUUCAGUAACAAAUUAUCAUAUCACACACUUAUUAUUAUAGUUCUGGAGGUCAGAUACAUGAAAUCAGUUACCUACUUCAGAAGGCUCUGGUGAAAUGGAGACAGCCUGUUUCCUACCUUUUCCAGCUUCUAGAGACUGUCUGCAUUCCUUGGUUCCUGCCACGUCACUCUGACCACUGCUUCCAUCGUCACAUCUCCUUCUCUGACUCUGACCCUCCUCCCUCCCUUUCAAAAAGACCCUGGCAAUUACGUUAGGCCCACCUGGAUUAUCCAGGAUAGUCUCCCCAUAUCAAGGUCCUUAACUGAAUCACAUUUGCAAAGUCUCAUUUGCCACGUGAGGUAACAUAUUCACUGAUUCUGUGGAUUAAGACAUAGGUAUCUUUGGGGGACUGGCAUUAUGCCCACCACAUCCUGUCUCUCUGUACAUUUCUUGGGAGUAGGUAAGUUAUUACUUAUUAAGUUAUAUAUUACUUAUUAUGUCUCAGUUUCAAAAAAAAAAAA
rnacentral:lncRNA from 1 species